rnacentral:rRNA from 1 species
GACAGAGGAUGCAAGCGUUAUCCGGAAUGAUUGGGCGUAAAGCGUCUGUAGGUGGCUUUUCAAGUCCGCCGUCAAAUCCCAGGGCUCAACCCUGGACAGGCGGUGGAAACUGCCAAGCUGGAGUACGGUAGGGGCAGAGGGAAUUUCCGGUGGAGCGGUGAAAUGCGUAGAGAUCGGAAAGAACACCAACGGCGAAAGCACUCUGCUGGGCCGACACUGACACUGAGGCGCGAAAGCCAGGGGAGCAAACGGG